GAUGAACGCUGGCGGCGUGCCUAAUACAUGCAAGUCGAGCGAGCAGAUAAGGAGCUUGCUCCUUUGACGUUAGCGGCGGACGGGUGAGUAACACGUGGGUAACCUACCUAUAAGACUGGGAUAACUUCGGGAAACCGGAGCUAAUACCGGAUAAUAUUUCGAACCGCAUGGUUCGAUAGUGAAAGAUGGUUUUGCUAUCACUUAUAGAUGGACCCGCGCCGUAUUAGCUAGUUGGUAAGGUAACGGCUUACCAAGGCGACGAUACGUAGCCGACCUGAGAGGGUGAUCGGCCACACUGGAACUGAGACACGGUCCAGACUCCUACGGGAGGCAGCAGUAGGGAAUCUUCCGCAAAGGGCGAAAGCCUGACGGAGCAACGCCGCGUGAGUGAUGAAGGUCUUCGGAUCGUAAAACUCUGUUAUUAGGGAAGAACAUACGUGUAAGUAACUGUGCACGUCUUGACGGUACCUAAUCAGAAAGCCACGGCUAACUACGUG
rnacentral:rRNA from 1 species